CAUAGUGUGAGAUGAACACCAAUAAUCAAGUUUUUAAGUAACUCUAACCAGUGUGAUUUUUCCCUGUCACCUUUCAAAAUACUUCAUUUUCCUCUGUCCUUCAGAAGAUCAUAUAAUAUCCCACAAUUCAGACUCUGAAAACUUACUCGUCUAUUUCCUAUUCUUACAAGACAAACAGAGAUUCCUGCAUUUCCAAAGAAGAUCUCAAGAUUUGGUCUACUGUGGAAUAAGUCUCCAGUGAAUAAUUGAGGGGGAUGUAGUGAAAUGUCCAACUCUAAUGGGUUUUUCCUUCAUUCUGUGGGCCUGUUCAAACUGAAGACAUCCAUGUUCUCUAAAGAAGAAAUAAGUUCAUAGCCCCAGGAAUUUGAACACCCAGUUAUAGAUACAAAGCUGCACAAAGAUGUGGUUACUAUACUAAAGGAACUCGUGAAUUUAACCAGAAAAUUGGAAUCCAUACCAUGCACGAGCGUCAUCAAGGAAGUAAGCCCACACAAUGAAAAUGGGGCCCUGGAGAGUGACUCGUAGUCCGAUAAGGAAGCUCAGGAAGCUUCCAGGAAGACAAAGCCUCAGCUAAGUCCUGAUAGCUGUAUGGAAGUUAAAAAAAGAAAGGUGAGAAUGGCUAUCCAGGCAGCAUGAAAGGACUUAGCUCCAAAGUUUGGAAAAGUAAGUUGUGCUUUGUAUUUCUAGAGCUUCCAAAAGGAAGAGAAAUAUUAUUCAAAGACCUUCCAAGCAAUGCUAAGGAGCAAGGAAUUUUUCCUAAAGAAAACGUGAAAUUACUGAAGUGUUUCCAGACGGAAAGAGCCCAUUGCUUUAUAGAACCAGACCUGGUAGGCUGAAAAAAAUUGUUUAAGGAAAUUAAGCCUCAAAAGAAUAAAGUAAGAGAAUUAAAAUAAUCAAGCCCUAAAAUAAAUGCUGUCCUAGGGAGCAGGUAAAGUCCAGCAAAGUGACAGUGAUCUCCGUACAUAUGACAUAAAGAACAUCUUCCAAGCCCCAGAGAGAGAGAGGAUGCCAAAAGCUGGAUAGAAAGCUAAGUGGACUAGGGUCAGUAGCACAGCAUGGAAAUGCAGGAGUGUGACAGAUGCAUAUCCUUACAAAGAGAGAAGCUGCAGCCCAUUUUGCACAUUGACCACUUCAGUCAGACUCAAUGUGGGAACAGUCAGGAACCAACAGGUAGACAUUAAAGACCAGGCUCCAGACCCAAUAAAGGAUGGGGAAAAGAACUAGGGAAACCAGAGAUUUUGAAACUAUACAGCCCCUACUCUAAGCCCCAGAACAAUGCACCCUUUCCAGACCGUGUGACACCAUACAACAACCUGACCCAACUCAGCUAUCCUCAUAAAUGAGGAAGACUUUCUUAGAACUUCUAAUGCGGCAGUUCUCAAUCCAUUUUCCACAAACCACAAAUCAUGAUUAUAACCCCUCAGUGUCGCAUACUGAGGCAGCUUCAGCUGCCCUAGACCAGCUCCUCGGGGUUUACUGUGUCCUCCCUGUUUCUGCAUCAGUUGCAAAGAAAAUCAAAGCAAAAAGAAACAACUCCAAUGAAAAAGAACAAGCAUGAAGAAGCAGGUACUACACCUCACCCACCACAAGUAAAGCUCUGGAAUCUGAAAGAGCAGGGGAGACUGCUGUAGGUCAGGUAAGUUUGAGGAAGAGGAGCAGAUUGAAAUCCACAGAAGGAACUUCUUCUGUGGUUCUUCCACUUACUCUUCCCCUUCAGGCACUUGGCUUUUCACUAAUAUUGCAAAACAGUUCAGAUUUACUUUUCUCAGUGCCUGGCACAUCAUAAGAGAUCACUAUGCAGUAAGUACUAUUGUUCUUAGCGAGGUCAAGACAUUGGAAAGGGUUCUAAUGAUAGAUGCACAUACUCACAAGUGUAAGAGAGCUAAUGAGUUCUACACAACUGAAACUUUGGUAGGUAUGGAAGAGUAUGGGAAGGUGAGGCCAGAGUAUAGAAAGAAAAAAAGGCCACAUAGCAUAGCCUUUUGCCAGAAAUAUAAAAUGGAAACUUCAUUGUGAAAAAUAAAAAAAAAACUGAAAAAUUUUAUGGAGAAGCAUGCUUGAUAACUUUUGUAUUUCUGCCAAAAAAAAAAAUAUUCUGGCAAUUAUUUGUAAGGAUGCAUUAGAGAUAAAUAAGGUUUUGAGGAAGAAAUAGCAAUUCGAAACAUUGGUGUGCUGGGGUGCAAUCCAAGAUAUCCUGCAAGUUCUUUGUAAAAGAUUCACUAAGUAACCUUGCAUUUCGUUGGCUACAACUAACUAUUGUCAACUAUGAUGAGCAAAGACAGUACAGGGUCUAGACCAAUAUGCACAUACUAAUUAUUUUAUCUCUGUGAGCUGUACCCCAACUGUAUAAAUCAUGUUUGUCUUAAAUUUGGAUAAAUGUAUUUUGAAUGAUGGAUUGUCCCACCAAGCUUGAA